CUUCGGGUCUCGAGGAUUAAAAGGGAAUCGGGUGAAAAUCCCGGACAGUCCCGCUGCUGUGAAGCUCCGCCAACCGCUCGAAUUUCUGUCAACCACUGAUCAUGUGUAUCGGGAAGGUUUCGGGUGGGGAGUCAGUCAGAAGACCUGCCAUCACUUUUG
rnacentral:ncRNA from 1 species